UGAUAUUCGCGAUAUUUUUGCCGUGGUAUGCAAAUGCAAACAAAAACAAGAAGAAAGGGAAAACAUAGAGUGUCUAAAAGUGGUGUCCAAAUUUCUAGGAAAACUCGACGUUUCUGAAGAAAAAUAAGUUCUUUUGGAAAAUCUUGGGAUGCUGAAAGACUUGCUGAUUGAAAAGAUUUGCUCAGUCAAAACAAAAUUUAGAGAAAAUAUCGUCAAUGACUGAUAUCAGUUUUUCUACAUUGAAAAGAAUAAAUAUUGAGGGAAAAGCUAACCAUGGUAUCUUCUGUACUCCAGGGAAGAAAGGAUCAGACAAGCCCACAAGAUAGAGCUAAUCUGGAGCUCAGCAAAGAGAAGAGUCACAAGCAAAAAUUUUGGCAUACCAGCAGCUGACCUUGAAAAACUUAUUCAGGAAGCUUUUGACAGCAUAACACCAGAGCUUUAGAAGAAAAUGACUCAUCAUGUGCUCAAUAUUGAAGCUCAGUGUAAAACCAGAAACAGAAUAAUGGAAGAACUUGAAUCGUUUAUUUUAAGUGUGUUUAAUGAUGAUGACUCUGACAGUAGUUCAGAAUCAAUGGACGCUGAGUUUCUAGAAUCCGAUUUUGAUUAUAGUUCCUAAUAAAGUACAAAACCUUCUUAAUUUUACAUAAUUUUAAAUUAAAGGAAAAAUGGAAAAAUUCACAUAUCAUUUGCAGAUUAAAAAGUAACUUCUUAAUUUUACUUCAAUUUUUCCUUGCA